GCUGGGCAUGGUGGCACAUGCCUGUAAUCAGCAACUCAGGAAGCUGAGGCAGGAGAAUCACAGGUUUGAGUCUAGCCUCAACAACUUAGUGAGGCCCUGUCUCAA
rnacentral:sRNA from 1 species